UACGGAGGAUGCGAGCGUUAUCCGGAUUUAUUGGGUUUAAAGGGUGCGUAGACGGUAAAGCAAGUCUGAAGUGAAAGCCCGGGGCUCAACCCCGGGACUGCUUUGGAAACUGUUUAACUAGAGUGCUGGAGAGGUAAGCGGAAUUCCUAGUGUAGCGGUGAAAUGCUUAGAUAUCACGAAGAACUCCGAUUGCGAAGGCAGCUCACUGGAGCGCAACUGACGCUGAAGCUCGAAAGUGCGGGUAUCGAACAGG
rnacentral:rRNA from 1 species